rnacentral:hammerhead_ribozyme from 1 species
ACACUGCUGACGAGUCCCAAACAGGAAGAAACAGUUGUCCAGUGC